rnacentral:rRNA from 1 species
UACGGAGGGGCUAGCGUUAUUCGGAAUUACUGGGCGUAAAGCGCACGUAGGCGGCUUUGUAAGUCAGAGGUGAAAGCCUGGAGCUCAACUCCAGAACUGCCUUUGAGACUGCAUCGCUUGAAUCCAGGAGAGGUGAGUGGAAUUCCGAGUGUAGAGGUGAAAUUCGUAGAUAUUCGCAAGAACACCAGUGGCGAAGGCGGCUCACUGGCCCGGUACUGACGCUGAGGUGCGAAAGCGUGGGGAGCAAACAGGG